CGCGGGGGAGACCAGGAGGAGCGGGGGCGGGGGAGCGACUGUCACCCCGACUGAGCUAAGGCCAGACGGCUGAGUAGGAACCCACUGCCGGGCCACGGUGCCCUAGCGUGGUACAUAAAAGUCGAAGUGCCUUUAAAAAGGAAAAAGAUACACACGUCAUGGCAAAUGUUUUUAUAUCUUUCACCCCAAUAAAAAUUUUAAAAGAUAAAAAUAUAUUAGCCUACAACUGAAUAGUGCAUGAAGUUAAACUGGCUAAACCUAAAAGAACAAAAACGGCCUUUCAGACUCCAACUACUUGGCCGGCUCCCCAGCUGCCACGUGCUGGGGAAGUGGAGGUUGCGUUGAUGAGUGUUAGCGUGGUUACGCCCCACCUGUCUGGUCGUAAUCAGGCCUGACAGGAGCCAGCUGGUUUUAGGAAGGGUGGAGGUGACCCGGCGUGAGGAACAAGGUGACCCGGACAUGAUCGCGCCCCGCCGCGGGCUGCCUUUGUCCUGGGUGGUCCCUGGAGCCGGCCUCCUCUGAGCCUGCACCUCUGAGAGGUGUCCCAGGUGCUCGCCAAGGCGGGUCCCACCGUGUCGGCUCAGAAACGCCCCCCCUCCCCCCGUCAUCUCUGUGCGGUGCCUGCCAAGAAGCCAGACUUCUUUUCUCUAGAUCCCAAGAGAGGCCCCAUUUUUCUUGCCCUCUGAGAUUUUUGGGGUUAUGGCAGAGCUCAGCAGCGUGGCUCAUCUCUCAAUUAAACGCAGAAGAACAAAUGGGGGAAGAUAGAUGCCACCGUGGAGAUCAGCAAGGAACCAAGGAGCAUCGGGGUUAUGGAAGCUGAAGAAGAUAAGCUGACAGAGAACCUUCUCCUAGAACCAGUGCCCUAAGUUCAGACUCCUAGCCUCCCGAACUGUGAGAAGAUAAAUUUCUGUUCUUUAAAGUAACCCACUUGUGGCUUUUCUGUUCCAGCAGUACUAGGAAGCUGAGAUACAAGCGUUCAGGUAAAACCUACAAAUUCUAGUAUAGCGAGAUUUUUCCUUUAUCCCAACAUGGGGAAGAGGGGGUAAUAGUAUCAACCACUAUCUCCAUAUGUUUCUCUAAUUUUUUCACUGUGCUCACUAAAACCAACCCAGUUUAAAAUUCUUGACAAGGAUAUGAUGAGUCAGCAAACUUUUCUUUUUAAUGUGUGGUGCUCAGUUUACUCAGUUAGUUGCUUUUGCAUAGCCAGUGCCUCAUUUUUUUUCUUUCUUUUUAUCGUGCUUUAGGUGAAAGUUUACACUCAAGCCAAUUUCUCGUACAAAAACUUAUACACAUACUGUUUUGUGUCAUUAGUUGCAAUCCCCACAAUGUGACAGCACGCUCCCCGUUUCCCUGUGUCCAUUCAACCAAUUCCUGUCCCUCCCUGCCUUUCAGUUAGUAGCCAAGUGCUUAACCACUACACCACGAGGGAUCCUUGAACUGGCCCUACAGGGUUUCCUGAACUGUAAUCUUUACAGGAGCAGAUUGCCAGGUCUUUUCUCCCACGGAGCCACUGGUGGGUUCAAACCACUGACCUUUUGGUUAGCAGCCAAGCGCUUAACCAUUGUGCCACCAGGGCUCCUUAGCAGUGCAUUGUACACCUGCUAUAUUUCACCAUGAUACAAAGCGACACUUUUUCUGCUCUGAAGUGCUAGACUCAAGCAGCUGACUUUUCUCCUUUUCAAAUACAAGAUGUGCUUCUCAACCAAAACGUGCUGUAUAAUUAUGUUUAAAUACUUACCUGGUACCCUUAAAACGUAGCGAUCUCUUUAGGAGCUUUGUUGAUAAAGGCCUGGAAAACUAGUGGAGCAUCACCAUUGGUCUCACUCAUUGUGUUUAGCUACCGUCCAGUUGGCCCUUGACUCCUGGCUACCCUCUGUGCAAUGAACAAUAUGCUGCCUGAUCCGGUACCACCCUUAUGAUCGGUUUUGGAUUGGACCAUUAUGAUCCACAGGGUUUUCAUCGGUUGAUUCUCUGAAGUAGAUCACCAGGUCUUCCUAGUCUGGAAGCCCCCACUGACAGAUGGAUGGUGGCUUCACACGCUGUACGCUGGCUGGAAAUUGGACCAGAGUCUCCCACAUGGAAGGCAAGGAUUCUACCACUGAAGCACCACUGUCCCCUCUCACUCAUUGUUCUUGCUGAGUGUCAUCAACUCAUAAGGACCCAAUAUGACAGAGUAGAACUGCCCCAUGGGUUUCCUAGGCUAUAAUCUUUAUGGGACCAGAUCACCAGAUUCUUUUUCCUGUGAAGCUGGAGCCGCUGGUGGGUUAGAGCCAUUGAUCUUUUUCUUUAGCAGCUGAGCUCUUAACCAUCUCUCUACCAGGGCUCCUUUCUCACUCAUUAGUGCUCCCUUUUUCUGAUGAGCAAAAGAAGUGCCAAUGAAUAGAGCAAGGAGAAGCCACAAAGGUGAACAAAGUUACGUGUCAAUUUUAAGUAAAUUAUUUGGUUUUAGGUAGUUAUAAGAAAAGGCUCCAUCUUUUUUCCUUCUAUUAUUGAAUCAUUUUCUAAGCCACUUAGCCCCAACCCAAAAAAUUACUGGCUAGAGAUGGCUGCUAUUGUUACAGUCUUCCCAGUAGACACUGCUUGGAGAUAUGAAUGAAAGCUUAAUAACAACUUUAUUAUGUGUUCUCUGCUGCCUUGGCUUAGCAUUUAAAAGUUUGGGUGUGGAUGAACCUGCAACAGCAGCCUGCACUGAGGUAAAAAGCAACCCUAAACUAAUCUCUUACCCCCACUCACCUUCUCAAAAGGUUAAUAAAGGAUAU